GACAGAGGCCACAAGCGUUAGGCGGAAUCACUGGGCUUAAAGCGUGUGUAGGCGGAUCGUUAAGUGCUUUGUGAAAUCCCUCGGCUCAACCGGGGAAUUGCUGGGCAUACUGGCGGUCUUGAGCUACCUAAGGGCAGCUGGAACAAACGGUGGAGCGGUUAAAUGCGUAGAAAUCGUUUGGAACGCCAAAGGUGAAAACAGGCUGCUGGGGGUAUGCUCACGCUGAGACACGAAAGCCAGGGGAGCAAACGGG
rnacentral:rRNA from 1 species